rnacentral:rRNA from 1 species
UGGGGAAUAUUGGACAAUGGGCGGAAGCCUGAUCCAGCCAUGCCGCGUGUGUGAAGAAGGCCUUUUGGUUGUAAAGCACUUUAAGCGAGGAGGAGGCUACUUGGCUUAAUACUCUAGGAUAGUGGACGUUACUCGCAGAAUAAGCACCGGCUAACUCUGUGCCAGCAGCCGCGGUAAUACAGAGGGUGCGAGCGUUAAUCGGAUUUACUGGGCAUAAAGCGUGCGUAGGCGGCUUCUUAAGUCGGAUGUGAAAUCCCUGAGCUUAACUUAGGAAUUUCAUUCGAUACUGGGAAGCUAGAGUAUGGGAGAGGAUUGUAGAAAUCCAGGUGUAGCGGUGAAAUGCGUAGAGAUCUUGAGUAAUACCGAUUGCGAAGGCAGCCAUCUGGCCUAAUACUGACGCUGAAGUACGAAAGCCUGAGGUGCAAACAGG